rnacentral:lncRNA from 1 species
CAGAAUUGGUUAGCCUCCACCCAGCAGAGUGUCUCACCUUGUUGGUCCAUAUAGGGGCAGUUGAGACUACGUGUCAGGAUAGAUACCUGUUGGUAACUACUGACCUCUCAUUCACUGGGGAUAAACCUCACGUUGAAGCUGUUGAUGCUAAGCAGUAUGGGUCAGAGUAGCUGAGAAUGGAGCGGAAACCCCAUGCACUGUAAAUGAAACCUGUGGCUUGGUUCCCCAGAGAAGUCAGCUGUAAGAUCUAGAUGGAGGGACACUUACUCCAUUCUUUACUUCUUGGUGAACGGUGUGGCGGUGGUCCAUCCAAUACUGUUCUCCAGGCAGGAUUGGUAGUCAUGAUGGUGGACUUGGUCAUUUCUUGCAGCACUGGCUGAGAGGGACGCAAGGAAUAUAUUCUGAUCAGUCACUGAAGGAAAAGGGGAUCAAGACUCUGUUCCGGUUCCCGGCAUUGCUGUAGGUAUUGAAGGGAACAACGCAAAAAUGGAAUUCACAAGUGCCGAUGAAGCCCUAAUCCAGCUACAAGAAACCUUCCCAGUGCUCUGAGGAAAGGACGAAGUAGGAAAAAGCAACGAGUGCACUAGGCUACAGUGACUCUUAAGACCAGUUUAUUGUAAAUUGAGACAAUAUCCUUUCCCUCUCCCCCAAAAUAAAUCUACCCUACUUUCUCCAAAUAACUUCUCUGACUUAUCAGUAGAAGUAGCCGAUGACAAUGGGCUACAUGGACACUGAAAAUACAUUUCAAAGGGGAACAUAUUGCAUGCAUGUCAACAGUUGUGUGUUUAUGUAUAAGAAUUGGAUGGUGAAUACAGGUGUAGGAGCGGCUGUGGAUGCAUAAGGUAUAUGUUGGGAGAGAAUGAGUAAGUGGAUGUAAGGUUGGGAUAAGCUUGGUGGGGUAAAAGGAGAGAACUGGGAGGUGGCGAGAGAUGGGUUAGACUUGGGAAGGACGGAUUUAACGAAACUACCUAAUUUUAUUUUGGAUUUACAAACCUGCUGUGAAAUUAAGGAGUUCUGGAUAGAUUAGGAAAGGAUGCCUCAUCAUUAUUCCUUGUCAUUCUAGCUAAGAUUCAAUGGUGGUUAUUGGUGAAAGUGGAG